CGGACGGGAGUAACGCGUGAGAAUCUGGCUUCAGGCUCGGGACAACAGUUGGAAACGGCUGCUAAUACCGCAUAUGACGAAAGUUGAAAGGAGUAAUCCGUCUAAAGAUGAGCUCGCGUCUGAUUAGCUAGUAGGUGUGGUAAGAGCGCACCUAGGCGACGAUCAGUAGCUGGUCUGAGAGGAUGAUCAGCCACACUGGGACUGAGACACGGCCCAGACUCCUACGGGAGGCAGCAGUGGGGAAUUUUCCGCAAUGGGCGAAAGCCUGACGGAGCAAUACCGCGUGAGGGAGGAAGGCUCUUGGGUUGUAAACCUCUUUUCUCAGGGAAGAAUAAUGACGGUACCUGAGGAAUAAGCAUCGGCUAACUCCGUGCCAGCAGCCGCGGUAAUACGGAGGAUGCAAGCGUUAUCCGGAAUGAUUGGGCGUAAAGCGUCCGCAGGUGGCAAUGUAAGUCUGCUGUCAAAGCGUCUGGCUCAACCAGAUACAGGCAGUGGAAACUACAUAGCUAGAGUAAGGUGGGGGUAGAGGGAAUUCCUGGUGUAGCGGUGAAAUGCGUAGAGAUCAGGAAGAACACCGGUGGUGAAGGCGCUCUGCUGGACCUUAACUGACACUGAGGGACGAAAGCUAGGGGAGCGAAUGGGAUUAGAUACCCCAGUAGUC
rnacentral:rRNA from 1 species